GAAAAUUAAACCUUCUUGAGAACAAAUUGUGAUCAUUUUAAUUUCAUUAACAUGAGAAAUAGAAGACCAUUAAAAAAUUUUGCAUCCCUAUUCAAGCACGAUCUUAACCAGCACACCAUUAACUUACAAUAUCCUCUGGAAGUUUUCUGAGCAUAUAAUUUAAUGAGCCGUUGCACCUGUUUAUUUGAUUGAUAAAGCAUUCAUCCCAUUCACUUCUCUUCUACAUUCAUAGUUAUAAAACCAUUCAACAUGAAAUCAAGCUCUUCAACCCAACGACCAUAAAGGACCCAAUUACAUAACCCCAUGUUAUUUCCCUUAUAUUCCCAUCAGCUCCCACUCUCCUACACUCAACAGACAAUUUUCCAAUUUUCACCAACCAACCUGCUUGUCGUUGCAAGUCAAAGAACAGGAGGAGCCCCAUGCAGUCUCAUGGAGAGCAGAUUGAAUCCAGGGAGCAUUGGCAGUGGUCAGUACUUUGAGCCUUUGGGAAGCAAAAUCCUCAGAGAGCCUGGGUAAACUAGCGAUAAUUUCGGUGGACGGUGCCUUUGUUGGAGAUGGGUUGGCAUUAAAGUGUAACAAAGCCUAGAGUCAUUCAUCAAAGGGUAUGAGUCCACUUGCAUUCAGCAACAAUCUCAUCAAGAAAAAAGAUCACUGGAUCACCAGCUAAAUGUGACUCUGAGCUUCACAUCAUUGGCAGUCCCCCAGAGAAAAGCCAAUCCCUUACAUAGUGACCUCAGCACCUCUGGAUAGAGAAGCAUUGCUGAUUCACCAGGAUGAUUGUGGCAUUUAACCUGCACUAAUACAAACAGUUGACAUCAAACUGAGCAGAAAUUAUUGCUGAGUUAGGUAGAAUCCAAAGACCACUGGACGUUUGUUAGAAUAAGGUGAGAGGGGAUAGGUUCAAACAGGAUGUGAGGUAAGUUUUUUACUCAGUAGCCUGGAAUGUGCUACCUAGUAUGCUAUUAGAGGCAAAUAAAUUACAGAUUUUUAAGAUGGGCACAUGGAUAUGAGGAAGAUAGAGGAUAUGAAUGUUGUGUAGGUAGGAGGGAUUAGUUUUUGGGCAUUUUUGAUUUGCUUUUUAUCUAGUUCCGCAAAACAUUGUGGGCCAAAGGCCCUCUUCCUGUGUUGAAUUGACUUUAUUUCUUGGAUCCUUUACAUACAUGAGGAGUAAAAAUCUUUACGUUAUGUCUCCAUCUAAAUGUUCAAUGUGCAAACAUAGUAAUUUAUAAUAAUUUAGAAUAAAUAGAACAGUCAAUGUAAUAUAGAGUACGCUCAAAUCACCGUGAGUUCAUCAGUCUGAUGGCCUGGUGGAAGAAGCUGUCCCGGAGCCUGUUGGUCCUGGCUUUUAUGCUGCGGAACCACUUCCUGGAUGGUAGCAGCUGGAAUAGAUUGCGGUUGGGCUGGCUCGGGUCCCCGAUGAUCCUCCGGGCCCUUUUUACACACCUGUCUUCGUAACUGUUCUGAAUCAUGGGAAGUUCACAACUACAGAUGUGCUGGGCUGUCUGCACCACUCUCUGCAGAAUCCUGCGAUUGAAGGAGGUACAGUUCACAUACCGGGCAGUGAUGCAGCCAGUCAGGACGCUCUCAAUUGUGCCCCUAUAGAAAGUUCUUAUGAUUUCGGUGCCCAUACCAAACUUCCUAAACCGUCUGAGGUGAAAGAAGCACUGUUGUGCCUUUUUCACCGCACAGCCGGUGUGUACAGACCACGUGAGGUCCUCAGUGAUGUGUAUGCCGAGGAACUUAAAGCUGUUCACCUCCUCAACCCCAGGUCCUUUGAUGUCAAUGGUGGUGAGCCUGUCUCCAUUCCUCCUGUAAUCCACAACCAGCUCCUGUACUGUUCUCUUUGAUGUUCUAAGCAAGACGUGGGAAUACUAGAGGUAGUAGCUGUAGGUGUCGUCAUUUCUACCCUUGGCUGAGCAGCCUAAGGUUCCAGAUCAAAUGGACUUCCUAUAGGAAUGACAGUCUUUCGUCAGUACCUGAUUAGAAGCUCAAUCAAUAACCAAACUGGUUUAAAAAAAAUCUGUUUGCUGAUAUUUUGUGGCGAUAUUCUGUUUGGUGAUUGUUUAGUAAAAUAAAUAGAUACUGUGGUAAACUAUGUAUACCUGUCUGGACACACCCCUCUGCUGACUGCUCCACCCACAGACCCCUGUAUAAAGGCGAUUGGAGGCACUGCUCCCCCCUCAGUCUCCGAGAUGCCGUGCUCCAUUUUGCUGCUAAUAAAAGCCUAUCGUUCGCCUCCCGUCUCCGAGAGUUAUUGAUGGUGCAUCAAUUUUAUCAGCAGCAAUUUUAAAACAUGGGGAGCAUUUUACAACCUGACAGAUUGGAUCGCGACCCUCAAUCCCAGGAAGCCGGUGACGUUUUCGAACUCUGGCUAGCAUGCUUCGAAUCGUACCUGGAGGAGAUUCAUGUAACUGACCCUGCCACGAUGCGCAGGGUUCUCCUCUCCAGAGUCAGUGCAAAGGUCUACUCCAUGAUCAGAGACCAAACGGACUACCAGGGUGCGAUGGAUGCCCUCAAAAAACAAUACCGGCGGCCGGUGAACACCGUCUACACAAGACAUCGCUUAGCGACAUGACGGCAGCGGGCCGGAGAGUCGAGCGUUGAGUUUGUCCGGGUCCUACAGACACUCGUGUGGGCCUGCGACUGCAGGGGACUGACGGCGGAGCAGCAUGCGGAGCUGCUAGUAAGAGAUGCCUUCGUUACAGGGAUCAGGUCAGUGUACAUGCGCCAGUGGCUGCUGGAACACACUGAUCUUACCUUACAUUCGGCGAUCGAACUGGCCGACAUGCUGGAGGCCGCUCUGCACGAUGCUGAUGCUGUCCAGGUGCGCAAUCUCCUGCUGGCCCCGUGGACACUGCAGACCCCGCAACCCACCGGCGAAUUGACCUCGGCUGCUGCCAGUCGCAAGUCCAUGAAGUCCCUGUAACCCGCCAGCGAGUCGACCAUGGCUGCUGCCAGUUGCAAGUAGGUGCAGUGUUACUUCUGCAGACUCGAAAGGCACCCCCGAAAAUGCUUCCCGGCCCGAGAAGCGACCUGCUCCAGCUGUUGAAAGAAGCCCCGCCUCCGACCCACUGGUGCCUACCGGGCACCAAGAUGGCGAUUCAACUCUGGCCUCCGAGACCCUUGACCAAAGCGCUCCACAUCAGCUUGCAAGGUCAAUGAUAGACAUCCUGGUGGAGGGAUGCAGGACUAGCUGCCUGUUUGACACGGGCAGCACUGAGAGUUUUAUUCACCCGGACACGGUGCAAAGCUGCGGACUCGUGACACGGCCGGUAAGCUAGAGGGUCACCAUGGCUUCUGGUUCACAUUCCACAGACAUCCAGGGGGGUUGUGUAGCGACAUUGGUGGUGCAGGGCACAGAAUAUCGGGACUUUGCGUUACUGGUCAUGCCUCAGCUGUGUGCCCCUGUGCUUUUGGGGCUCGACUUCCAGAGCCACCUGAAAACUGUGACAAUGGAGUAUGACGGGCCCCUCCCACCAAUUGCUGUCAGAAAUCCUCAGUUUUGUGGGACUUCGUUAUAUACCCCGCUACUGACCACACACACACACCAACCCGCACAUCCCACUCACCACCAUGCCAACGGCCGCGCUACUGACACCACUUGCAGCCUCUCCACCCUCAAGAUCCCUCCCCCACUGCUGUUCGCCAACCUGACCCCCGACUGUAAACCUGUGGCAACUAAAAGCAGGAGGUACAGUGCGGGGGACAGGGCCUUCAUUAAGCAGCGGCUGCUCAGGGAGGGGAUCAUUGAGCCAAGCACAAGUCCUUGGAGGGCCCAGGUGGUCGUUGUUCGGACUGGGCAGAAAAAUAGGAUUGUCUUGGACUAUAGCCAGACCAUCAAUAGGUUCACGCAGCUUGACACGUACCCCCUACCCCGCAUCGCGGACAUGGUCAAUCAGAUAGCUCAGUACAAGGUGUACUCGACCAUAGACCUGAAAUCCGCUUACCACCAGCUCCCCAUCCACCCGGAGGACUGCCCCUACACCGUCUUUGAGGCGGGCAGCAGGCUCUAUCACUUCCUGCGCAUCCCCUUCGGUGUCACGAAUGGUGUCUCUGUCUUCCAGAGGGAAAUGGACCGGAUGGUGGACCAGUGCCAACUGAAGGCCACGUUCCCAUAUCUGGAUAACAUCACCAUCUGCGGUCACGACUGGCAGGAUCACGACACCAACCUCCAAUGAUUUUUCCAAGUGGCUAAAGCUCUUAACCUCACCUAUAACAGGGAGAAGUGUGUGUUCGGAACCACCCGACUCGCUAUCCUUGGGUAUGUCAUGGAGAACGGGGUCAUUGGCCCUGACCCCGACCGUAUGCACCCCCUGUUGGAACUCCCUCUUCCCACCUCUCUCAAAGCCCUCAAACGGUGCCUGGGCUUCUUUUCCUAUUACACCCAAUGGGUCCCUCACUAUGCAGACAAUGCCCACCCCCUGGUCAAGUCCACCGCAUUUCCCCUCUCUGCUGAGGCCUGUGCGGCCUUCAGCCGCAUUAAAGGGGACAUUGCCAAAGCAACGAUACAUUCCCUUCCAAGUAGAGAGUGACGCCUCCGACCUCGCGCUGGCUGCUACCCUCAAUCAGGCAGGAAGGCCGGUAGCAUUCUUCUCCCGUACUCUUCAAGGCCCUGAAAUUUGGCACCCUACAGUGGAGAAAGAAGCCCAGGCCAUAGAGGAAGCUAUUAGGCACUGGAGGCACUAUCUCACCGGCAAAAGGCUUACCUUGCUGACCGACCAGCGCUCAGUUGCGUUCAUGUUCAGCAACCAACAGCGGGGCAAAAUCAAAAAUGAUAAAAUUUUGCGGUGGAGAAUAGAACUCUCCACCUACAACUAUGAUAUCCUGUACUGGCCUGGAAGGCUCAAUGAGCCCCCUGAUGCCCUAUCCAGGGGAAUGUGUGCCAGCGCGCAGCUCAACCGGCAAUAUGCCCUCCAUGCAGAUCUUUGCCACCCGGGAGUCACCCGACUUUACCAUUUCGUGAAAGCCCAGAACCUGCCUUACUCCCUUGAGGAAAUCAGGACGAUGACCAGGGACUGCCAAGUCUGCGCUGAGUGCAAACCGCACUUCUACCGUCCUGAAAAGGCACAACUUAUCAAGGCCACCCACCCCUUUGAGCGACUGAGUGUUGACUUUAAGGGCUCCCUUCCCUCCACUGACUGCAAUGUCUACUUUCUCAACAUUAUCGACGAGUACUCGCGGUUCCCCUUUGCCAUCCCCUGCCCCGACACCACUGCCACGUCUGUCAUAAAAGCCCUGCGCCAGCUCUUCACUCUGUUCGGGUAUCCCUGCUAUAUCCACAGUGAUAGAGGGUCCUCCUUUGUGAGUGACGAGCUGCACCAGUACCUGCUGGCUAAGGGUAUUGCUGCUAGUCGGACCACGAGUUAUAAUCCCCGGGGAAAUGGACAGGUGGAGAGGGAGAAUGCCACGGUGUGGAAGGCCACACUCUUAGCCCUUAGGUCAAAGGGACUGCUGGUCUCUCACUGGCAGGAGGUCCUCCCCAAGGCACUCCACUCCAUCCGCUCUCUGUUAUGCACGUCCACCAAUGCCACCCCUCAUGAGCGCCUAUUCUCUUUUCCCAGGAAGUCUGCCACUGGGACCACCCUACCGGCUUGGCUGACAUCCCCAGGGCCAGUGCUGCUCCGGAAACAUGCGAGGAGUAAUAAAUACUCCCGAUGGUCGAGAGGGUUCACCUACUUCAUGCGAACCCCCAGUAUGCCUACGUGGUCUUACCUGAUGGGUGGGAGGACACGGUCUCCGUACGCGACCUGACGCCCGCAGGAGCAGCAGGCCCCUACCCUGAACACUCCACGGGGACUAUGAACCCCGUACCCACCGAUGUAUAUACCCACGAGACAUGGCGCACACCAAGCCCUACACAGACUCCUCACGACAUUCCCAUACCAGGCGCCAUGCACACGCAUGAGGGAUUACUGACGCCUAAUGGGCUGGCACCUCUAGUCAGGCUGGAGCCAGCACAACCACCGUCACUGGUUCUACGUAGAUCGCAGCGACAGACUUGACCGCCUGAUAGACUUAACCUGUAAAUAUACUUGUAAGAAACUUUGCCCCGUGGGGACUCUCUUUUAAAACAAAUGGGGGGGUGAAUGUGGUGAACUACAUAUACCUGUCUGGACACGCCCCCUGCUGACUGCUCCUGUGGCUCCUCCCACAGACCCCUGUAUAAAGGCAAUUGGAGGCACUGCUCCCCCCUCAGUCUCCGAGAUGCUGUGCUCCGUUUUGCUGCUCAUAAAAGCCUAUCGUUCGCCUCCCAUUUCCGAGCGUUAUUGAGGGUGCAUCAGAUACACAUCUAGAGAACUGAAUUUGUUCACCAUUCAUUUUCAACGUAGUCUUGUCAUAAUGUCAACCCUCUCGUUUUGUGGAUAUGGGAAGGGAAGGUGCAGGUGUGAAUGGUCUAUCGUCCUAUUUAGUGUAGCAGCCUCUCAGUAACGCAAUGUUAGUGGUGCUGUGCUUUCAUUCACACAUUAAACAUUGAUACCCCUGGCUUUCUCUGGUAAACAAUACUCUAACAUUAUUUUUAAGAGUGGAGUUAUCCUGGAGUCUGGCAAAUAAUCCUUAAUCCAGAUCAUUGCCCUGUUGCUGUUUGUUCAGGUUUGAACAUAGAACAUAGAAAUCUACAGGCCCUUAAGCCAACAAUGUUGUGCUGAGCAUGCAACCCACUCUAGAAACUGCCUAGAAUUACUUUACCGCAUCACCUUCUAUUCUUCUAAGCUUCAUGUACCUAUCUAAGAGUGUCUAAAAGACCCUAUUGUAUCCGGCUCCACCACCGUUGUCACCACGCUCUGUGUGGAAAAACUUACCCCUGACAUCUCCCCGGUGCCUACUUCCAAGCACCUUAAAACAGUGCCCCCUUGUGCUAGCCAUUUCAGCCCUGGGGAAAAAGCCUCUGGCUAUCCCCACGAUCAAUGCCUCUCAUCAGCUUAUAUGCAGUUUGCUGUGUGUAAAAUGGCUAAUCAUCAAAAGUAGUUAAUUGGCUGCACAUGCAUAGUGAUGUUCUAAGUUGUGAAGGGUGUUGCAUAAGGAAAUACUUGCUUUUAAAAUCCUCACAUAUAAAUCAGUUCUGCUUCAUGAGGAAGCUGGGAAAUGUACCAAUAAAAUCCAUACCAGACUGAGGCUUGACUUUCAGAAUUCUCUCACACUUUGGCAACUUAACCUCUGUGUAACCCCACACAGGCUGACCAAUGUACAGCGGUUGUGCUCCAGAAAUGCCUGCUGAGGUAUUCCCUGGGAAAGGGCUGUGUGAAUGGACAUCAGCCAACAGCUAAAUAAAUACCCCCUGGUUUAUUAGUGUCAUGCGUACCGAGGUACAGUGAAAAUCUUUGUUUUGCAUGCCAUCUAAAGAGAUCAUUUCAUCACAACAGUACAGGCGAGAACGAUAACAGAAUGGAGAAUACAGAGAAAGUGCAAUGAAGACUGACAAUAUGUGCAAGGUCAUAAUGAGGAGGAGAUGUAACAAUCACAGACCGACCAAAUGUGUUAAAGCAAACAGAACAUAAUGUUGCUGCCAGCGUCCCUGCUUCCUGCAGAAAUCGGGCAAAUAUCCGUGCAUUAUCGUGGGGUCUAGAUCAUACUCAGUUUCCUACUGACUAUGAUUUCAUCCUUGAUGGGGAAAUUGUCUACGUUGCAAAGACCUAUCCGUUAUUAUUAAAGACCCCACAACAUCUGAGCUGUGAGAGAACUACCAUUUACCUCUCCUCCAAAAUGUGGCAGGACUUUCAAGUCAACAGCUUCUAUGAGGAAAUUCUUCCAAAGCGUUUUCAUUGCCAACUAGUUAACAGAAAUGAAGAAGAUAAUAUCAAUGUGUACAAAGUAACCAAAAAGAUUACAAGUUCUGGGGAUCAGCCAGCAACAUAGAACAAAAGGUCUGUGUAUCACAUUAUAAGACUCUAGAAGUUCCCAAGGAUUUCUUUUGUAAUAUCAUCUACAGAAAAAGUCAGCUUGAAGAAAUAUUUUUGACUUAUUUGAUCUGAUUUUCUCUGGAAGUCGGACUUUUCUCCGCUCUGUCUCCUGAAGGUAUGAGGGUAACAGAUAGGUAGAGCUGCCCAGUAUGUGGCACAAGACCCAUUUUUCAUGACUGAAUCCAAGGUGUGGCAUUUUAACCAUGGGAUAAAUUUUGCUACAGCAUGAUUUAACAAUCUGAUCUCACCUCAGUUACGUCAGUUCAAGAGUACAAGUGGCAAUCACUAGUGAGUGUUUUUGGGAAUGAUCCUGAUUUUAUUUCCCUCCGGCAACUUUGAAGCUCUCCAAAAUCAGAAUCAGAAUCAAAUUUAAUAUCACUGGCAUAUGUCAUGAAAUUUGUUGUUAUCUGGCAGCGAUACAUUGCAGUACCUAAUAAUAAGAACAGUAAAUUAUAGUAAGAAGCUUAUAUAUUUAAAAAAGUUAAAUUAAAUAUGAGAAAAAUAAACAGAGAAAAAAAGUAGUGAGGUAAUGCUCAUAGGUUCAAUGUCCAUUCAGAAAUCUGAUGGCACAGAGGAAGAAGCUGUUCCUGAAUUGCUAAGAGUGCGCCUUCAGGCUCCUGUACCUUCUCCCUGCCGUAGCAGUGAGAAGAGGUCAUGUCCAGGGUUGAUGGGGGUUCUUAAUGAUGCAUGCUGACUUUUUGAGGCAUCACUCCUUGAAGAUGUCCUGGAUGUUGGGGAGGCUAGUGUUCAUGAUGAAGCUGACUAAGUUUACAGCUGCACAAUUUGCAAAAUGGUGCAAUGAGAUGUCUAGUUGGCUAUCCAAUUAGUGCUCAUUCAUUGAAUUUGAGGUUUUAUAUGCAGAAGCAGUUUUCAACAUUAGGAUAAUCAAUGAAGCCAGUAAACUGCUGAGGAUAUGGAUGCCAUAUUUUAAAAAGGGGCAUAGAGAGCGAUGUGCAAUUUAAAUUCGGGAACGAUACAAGAUGACCUGAAGUAGGGUCGUGGCCUGAAACUUUGACUGUAUACUCAUUUCCAUCAAUGCCCUCUGACCUGCUGAGAUCCUCCAGCAUUUUUAUGUGUUUUUUGGAUUUUCACCAUCUGCAGAAUUUCUUGUGCUUAUGAUACAAGAAUUGUGGGGAGUCACACCUUCUGCAGCCCUCUGAUGCCUCCAUGUAUCAUCUUCCAGCUUGUCACUACUUCCACUCUUCCCUCUUCUAUCAUCCCUCAUCACUUGGAUCCACCUACCUCCUGCCAGCUCCUGCUCUGCACAUUCCUUCCAUUUCUUAUAUUGGAUAUCUCCCCUCUACCUUUCAGUCCAAAUGAAAGGCAUUGACCCAAUACACCAACCGUUCAUUUCAUUCCACAAAUGCUGCCUGACCUGCUGAUCAGGAAAGCUUAAUCAGACUGAUGCUCUUUUCUCUCAAAAAGAAAAAAGAACAACUGAGAGGUGGCCUGGUAUGGUUCUUUAAGAAUAUGAGAGUUUGACAAGGUAGACUUAAGGACGAAGAGGUCAUGGCUAAGAAAGUGGAAGAUAAAUUCAAUCGGAAUUCUAGAGAAAUUUCUUCACAUAGAGAAGGGUUAGCAUGUGGAAUAUGUUGCCACUUGGAGUGGUGUGAUCAUUUGGGGAACAGGUAACUAAACAUGGGAUAGAAUGCAGAAGUGUGGGAGGCAGCUUGAGUGGAGCAUGAAGAUUAAAAUGCAACUUCCAGCCCAAGUGGCAAGUUUUUUGCUGCAGUAAAUAUUAUGUAGUGAAAUAUAAACUUUGGUUAGAAAAAUGUGGAGGGGCUUUUGUCCUUGUGUCGCAGAACUAUAUGCAUUUGGAAUUGAUGCUAACAGUAAGUAGCAGCAAAAAUGACUGUACGUGUACAGUGAAUGAUUUUGAGCAAUGACAGGGGUUUGAGGUUUACAGUGUGGAACAAUGCUGCUUACUGAAGGACUUCAACAAAGCGCACAAUGGAAUGAAUUGUUUGGAUAAAAAGCAGAAGCAGAACUGUACUAUUAUAAAGAUUAGGUUUUACUUGUCACAUGUGCCUCAAAGCAUGGAAACAAACAGUAAAAGGUGUCAUUUGCUCCAAUGAGCAACACAGUUCAAGGAUGUGCUGGUGACAGCUCGCCAGUGUUGCUAUGCCUCUGGUGCCAACAUAGCUUACUAAUUUACUACCCAUACAUCUUGGGAGUGAGGGAAGAAAGUGGAGUUCCCAGAGGAUACCCACGUUGUCACGGAGAGAGCGUACAAACUCUUUGCAGACAGUGGUGGGAGUUGAACCUCGAUCACCGGUGCCAUAAGGCAUUACACUACCAUAGCGUUAUUAUGCAUUUCUUGUUAAGCAGAAGGCAAAAUGAAAAUUGUCAAAAAAACCGUAGAAAAGAUAUCAGGAAAACUACAUCUUCAAUAUGUCUGGAAUAACUCCCCCAUAACAUGAAAUCAAAGACUCAGAAUUAUUGAUGAAUGAGUUCUUGUACAAAGCAGAUGAGACAUGAAUAACAAAUGAACUUUUCUCAUAUUCCACAGGACAAUGGCCUUCUUCUUACUGAGUUCAUGGGAAAUUUUACACAACAUUAAUCAAAUCCGAGAAUUGAGUUUUUUUGAAAUUUGUCACUUCUCUAUUUUUUUCCACUGAAAACUCUGAUUAUAAGGACUAUUCUAAGGAAAAUGCCAAUGAUUUGUUCAUGACAACAUAGCCUUUUGUUGCUCAAACAAAGGUAUUCAUCAGAAAGUUGUGUGGAUCUAUGAUUAAAUGAAUGUGUGGAAACUAUUGUAACUACUCAACCAAGUUGCGUAAGUUUCCUCCAUACCAGUUAAGACCAGGAACUGCAAACGAUUUUAUUUAACCUUAAAUCUUAACUUAUUUAAUUAAAAAGAUUUUAUCACCUUUACUGCAAAAUUCAGCUAAUGUAGCUCUGACCUAAUAUUAAAAUCAGGGUUCUCCAAGCAUCUACAUGCCAAAUAGGGUGGUUUAUUGUCUUCAGAAGUAUUUCUUGUAAUCUUUCUAUCUUGUUUGCAGAGCACCUUUCUAUUUCUCAUUUUGGCUGUCUCAAGCCUCAAUGACAUAUCAGUGAACAAAAUGGUUUAUUAUAAUCAUUCCUAUGAUUUCCAUGUGAUUUACUUUCAUGUUAAUGAUAACCAUUCAAAUAAAUUUGUGGGUUAUUAUGCUUUGUACAUAAAGAUCCAACAGUUUAGUAUUCAAGAGUAAAUUAAAAUUGUGUAUUGACUUCUUGAAAAUAUCUUUGUAAAUGUUUCGAAGCUUGGUCAAUCCAAUAAAGAACAAUAAAGGUGAUUUGGCAGCCCAAUCAUU